rnacentral:rRNA from 1 species
UACGUAGGACCCGAGCGUUGUCCGGAUUUACUGGGUAUAAAGGGUGCGUAGGCGGCCUUGUGCGUCAGAGGUGAAAUAUCCGGGCUUAACCCGGAGGGUGCCUUUGAUACGGCAGGGCUUGAGUGCGAGAGAGGAUGAUGGAAUUCCUGGUGUAGCGGUGAAAUGCGUAGAUAUCAGGAGGAACACCGGUGGCGAAGGCGGUCAUCUGGCUCGUAACUGACGCUGAGGCACGAAAGCGCGGGGAUCAAACAGGAUUAGAUACCCUGGUAGUCCGCGCCCUAAACGAUGUAUGCUUGGUGUUGGGUCCGCAAGGACUCAGUGCCGUAGGGAAUCUGAUAAGCAUACCACCUGGGGAGUACGAUCGCAAGGUUG